CUACGGGAUGCACCAGUGGGGAAUCUUAGACAAUGGGCGCAAGCCUGAUCUAGCCAUGCCGCGUGAGUGAUGAAGGCCUUAGGGUCGUAAAGCUCUUUCGCUGGGGAAGAUAAUGACGGUACCCAGUAAAGAAACCCCGGCUAACUCCGUGCCAGCAGCCGCGGUAAUACGGAGGGGGUUAGCGUUGUUCGGAAUUACUGGGCGUAAAGCGCGCGUAGGCGGACUGCUAAGUCGGGGGUGAAAUCCCGGGGCUCAACCCCGGAACGGCCUUCGAUACUGGCAGUCUGGAGUUCGAGAGAGGUGAGUGGAAUUCCGAGUGUAGAGGUGAAAUUCGUAGAUAUUCGGAGGAACACCAGUGGCGAAGGCGGCUCACUGGCUCGAUACUGACGCUGAGGUGCGAAAGUGUGGGGAGCAAACAGGAUUAGAUACCCUUGUAGUC
rnacentral:rRNA from 1 species